ensembl:lncRNA uncharacterized LOC115198568
GUGACUCUGUUCACUUCACUUCCUCUUCCUUUCGAGUGAGUGAGUGAGUGAGAGGAGAGAGAGAUACAGAGAUACGUACAGUGAAAUCAUAUGAAAGGUGCUAAGGCCGGAAGUGUUCGGAAAGAGGAAGUUGAGAGUUGGGGGUCAGAGACAAAAAAUUGGUGUGAAGACAGAGAUACACUCAGAGAAACAAGAAAUGAACAAAUUAGAAUAAGUAUGGUGGAGUGGAAAAAAGGACGGCGGUAAAAAAAAAAAAAACACGGAUGAAACUGAACUGGAAAACACAACAAAAAGACAGCAAGUGAAGAGGAAAAGAGAAGACUGAACAUUGUGACAGAUGACAGAGUCAGAUAUGAGAAAACGCUGUGUCUGCACUCUUCUGGUCCUCACGCUGAUACAGACAGGCAUGACAGACAGUGGGAUUUCUGUAUCUCACAAAUGGGAUGGAGAUCACCUAUCUAUCACCUGUCGUCUCAUGCGGGACAACGACACUGUUUCUCAGAUCAACUGGGAGAUGACCAGCAGUUCAAACCACACCACCACCAGAUUGAAGCUGGGCACCUUCCAUCCCGUGUUCGGUACGUACGUGGUCCCGGAGUACAACGAUACCGUGGAGAUCCAGGGUAACGCCUCCAGCGGUAAUUACACGCUCAGGCUGAGAGGUAGCACUGUGUUGGAGGAGAGUCAGUUCUGCUGUAAAUUCAUUACCUUUCCCUCUGGAGUGCUGGAGCAGUGUACAUAUACCAGGAUUAAUGAAAGCCCAGAGGAGGCCCAGGAGUCAGAAGGCCCACAGGGUUUACUAGGGGAGAGACAAGUGGAGCAGUGGGCUCUGCUAGUAGUGGGGUCUACCAUCUGUCUCCUCAGUGUCGCCAUCUCUCUCUACUACUGCUUGAAGUAUUGCUGCAGACACUGCUACCGCAGGAGGCGAGUGUUCGAGGUGGAGACUUAUCUGACAGAUCAACACACAGACUCGGAGGGGGUCACAGAGGAGCCACCCCAUCAACCCACCCUUCCCUCACCCCCUCACCACCAGCUCCAGGGUUUUGACCCCUCUAAGCUGUACACUAAGAUCAAGCAGGACCUGCUGUAUGGACGGCUGUGGAAGGCCUACCAGGGGACGGCUAAGGCCUGGGGCCCCACAACACAGCAGGGACCACAGCAGCAAGGGCCACAACAAGGGGCAGAACUAGGGCCACAAAAGGUCUAUUUUCUUCUGGGGGAUCAUCGGGCGUCACAGAGACAGGAACCAGAAGAACCGGAACUAGAACCUAAUCUAGAACAAGAACAAGACCCUCAACCAACCCUUGAAGGAACCGUGGAACCACAGACUGAGCCUGAACCUAUCCAUCCAUUAGCCCUGGAACCUGGAACACAGAUGGAGGUUCAAGAACCAGAAUGUCAUUUAGAACUAGAACCUAACUUCCCAUCAACCCUUCCUGCACAGAGGAAGGAACUGGAACCAGACAUGGGAACAGAGAAGGAGGAAACUGAAGAAACCAGAGACUAACCCUUCAGCGAGGAGGUUCAUGAAGGGAGGGUGUGUUGUGUUGUUGUGUGUGUCUGUGUGUGUGCGGACCGUGCGUGUGUACGUGUGUGUUGGGAGGAAUAAUGUACUGUUGACAUUGGGUGAAUAACCCUGACCUCCUAAGGUUAGCUGUCAAGCAAUACGAUUAAUACUUAUUGCCCCAGUGGGAAAUUUAGAGUGAAAUUUAAACUCACAGGUAAUCGCCAUGUUUUUUUGUUCACUGUGAACAACGUACAUGUGGUUAGACGUCUCAGCCAUCACUCAGACGUUUCUCUCUCUCUCUCACAGACAGACAGACAGACAGACAGACAGACAGACAGACAGACAGACAGACAGACAGACAGACAGACAGACAGACAGACAGACAGACAGACAGACAGACAGACAGACAGACAGACAGACAGACAGACAGACAGACAGACAGGUAAAUGGGGUUUGACGUCUCGGCAAUCGCUCAGCUGUUUCUCACAUUUGAGCUCACAACAGUGUGGCAUACAGUUACUGGUAUACUGUUAACAGACAGAAGAAGCAGGGGAAUGUCUUUCAAGCAGAGCUUUUUUAUAACAUUUCCUGUAUGGUCAAAUUUAGUGUGAGAUGUGAAUAGAACACUUUGCGUUUAAAUAUAGUAAUGGGUUGCAUGACCUUUAGAUUCUAAGAAGAGCUGUUAUAGCCAACUGAUCUGUUAUUGUAAGGAGCAAGACAGUGAGGGAUUUUUAUUUUGUGUAUCUGGUUUUGUGAUUGCAAUUUCUGUAUAUAAUGUAGGUCUAUAAUAAUGUUUAUACUUUUGUUUCAAUUAAAAAUCGGACUUGCAAAAGUGUUUGAGUCCUUCACUUGACAUCUAGAAUAUGCCUGCUUUUUUUUGGGCCACUGGGGGACGACACAAGACCAUUUA